UACAGAGGGUGCGAGCGUUAAUCGGAAUUACUGGGCGUAAAGCGUGCGUAGACGGUUAUUUAAGUCGGGUGUGAAAGCCCCGGGCUCAACCUGGGAAUUGCAUUCGAGACUGAAUAGCUAGGGUACGGUAGAGGGAAGCGGAAUUUCCGGUGUAGCGGUGAAAUGCGUAGAUAUCGGAAGGAACAUCAGUGGCGAAAGCGGCUUCCUGGACCAGUACCGACGCUCAGGCACGAAAGCGUGGGGAGCAAACAGG
rnacentral:rRNA from 1 species